rnacentral:tRNA from 2 species
GGCGGGGUAGAGCAGUUUGGUAGCUCGCAAGGCUCAUAACCUUGAGGUCACGGGUUCAAAUCCUGUCCCCGCAA